rnacentral:rRNA from 1 species
GUGCAGCAGUCGAGAAUACUUUACAAUGUGCGAAAGCACGAUAAGGGAACUCUGAGUGCCUCCUAAGGAGGCUGUUCAGGUGUCUAAAAAGCACCUGGAGUAAGGGCUGGGUAAGACCGGUGCCAGCCGCCGCGGUAACACCGGCAGCCCAGGUGGUAGCCACUUUUAUUGGGUCUAAAGCGUCCGUAGCCGGUUGAGUAAGUUCCUUGGGAAAUUUGGCUGCUCAACAGUCAAGCUUCCAGGGAAUACUGCUCGACUUGGGACUGGGGAGAGGUCAGAGGUACUCCAGGGGUAGGGGUGAAAAUCCAUUAAUCCCUGGGGGACCACCGGUAGCGAAGGCGUCUGACCAGACCAGGUCCGACGGUGAGGGACGAAGGCUAGGGGGCGCGAACCGGAUUAGAUACCCCGGUAGU